ensembl:lncRNA
GUAGAGGGAUGGAGGGAUGAGGUGGAGGGAUGAGGUAGAGGGAUGGAGGGAUGAGGUAGAGGGAUGUCGGGAUGAGGUGGAGGGAUGAGGUAGAGGGAUGGAGGGAUGAGGUAGAGGGAUGGCGGGAUGAGGUAGAGGGAUGGAGGGAUGAGGUGGAGGGAUGGAGGGAUGAGGUAGAGGGAUGGAGGGAUGAGGUGGAGGGAUGGAGGGAUGAGGUAGAGGGAUGGAGGGAUGAGGUGGAGGGAUGAGGUAGAGGGAUGGAGGGAUGAGGUAGAGGGAUGGCGGGAUGCGGUAGAGGGAUGGAGGGAUGAGGUAGAGGGUGAGGAUGAUGUCAUGAUCCUCAGGGUCAUGUCUGUUCAGCCUCAGGAAGGG